CUCKAACCCCUAACCUUAUGAUUAAGAGUCAUACGCGCUACCGAUUGCGCCA
rnacentral:tRNA from 1 species